GUGCUGCGAUAGUAAUUCAACCUAGUACGAGAGGAACCGUUGAUUCACACAAUUGGUCAUCGUGCUUGGUUGAAAAGUCAUUGGCGCGAAGCUACCGUGUGUUGGAUUAUGACUGAACGCCUCUAAGUCAGAAUCCAAGCUAGUAAUACGGCAC
rnacentral:ncRNA from 1 species